UGGCAGGUUCACAGUCUUACAUGUAUUUAAACAUCUUAUCUCUCAUGGCUUUGACUAUGUCAUGACUAGUUUUAUGAACAUUAUUCUACUGUCAGCUCUGAUUAUUUUUCAUUCCACUUUAUCAUCUUAGGUGCCUAAUGACCCAUGCUGUGCAUGAGCUUCCCGGGAUACCCGUGGACACUUCCUUCUAGCUGCUGGCCUGUGCUCUGAACUGUUCCCUUCUCCUUGCAUCCCUCUCCUCCUUGGUCAGAAUCCUGAUCCUCUGUGGACAGUUUAAUCUAAUAAACGAAUUCAGGCUGAGAUCUAAAUGAUCAUCAUGAUGGUGAUGGAGGAAGCAGUGAUAAUGAUGAUGAUGAUGUCAUAAAACUAAAAUUAUUGAGCACUAAGUACUGGUCAAGAUGCUUUAGAUACAUCAGUUCAUCGAAUCCUCUCAACAACCUUGUUUUACAGUGGCCCAACAAUACAGUGCCUAUUAUCAUCCUUGCUUCAUGAAGAAGAACACGAGGUUUAGGAGGGUUCACCCUCUCAGUCAAAGUCCCUGAAGUGCAGAACUUGGCCAACCCCACAGUGGACUGGCUUCUGCUAGGCAGUUGGGAGCCACUGCCAUCUCCAAACAGCAGGAAGAGAUGCUCAAAGCUGUGCUUUUGAAAAAUCAAUCUGGCAGUAGUGGAGAAGAUACACUGUCUUUUCUCAGCUCAGCAUACCAGUUGGAAGGCCUAACCACAGAGCCAGCAGGCGGCAGAGCUGGGGGUUAGAUCCCACAUCUACCUGAUUCCAGCACCCUUGCUCGAAUCCCCCAAACCUAGCUGCUUGAGGCCAGAUGAAGGCUUCCGGCUUCACAAGUGCCCUUCCCUCACUGCGGGUGCAUUGGCACCUCACUUCCUUGCCACACUUCCUCUUGUUUUGAACCACUAUAUUGGCUCAUCUCAGCAGCAGACAGUUCCUCUGAAUAGAGUAUGCCCUGAAAAGUCAAAAUCUACCACCAGCUGGAGCUGGUAAGGCUGCAGUACUUCCUGUUGAAUCGGGUCUUGGGGCCAGAAACCACAUUGUUAUUUAUACCCGAAGCUCUUUAUUCACGGUGCUUUACAAAACAAAGAAGGGGCAGCCCCCUGUCUUAUGGAGCCAGCAGACCCCAGAGAUACAGAAGACAACAGACAAUAAUAAGCCCUCUCCCCUCUCCUUAAGCUGUAACUUCCAUCCUGCCUGACCAGUCCCUGCCACUGCCCCUUUGUUUCUUCUAUUACCUUCCUCUGAGCAGUCUUAUUAUGGAAAUAGACUCCUAAUUAACACAUCAGGUUUCCGCUUUUCCAAAAAGUCUCUGAAAUUGGCCCGUUUCAUGAUGUUGUUCACUCCAAACACCCCCUGCUAUCUUUAUUUUGUUCUGCUUUUCAUCCUGGCUUAUAUCAUUUAUUUCUUUGUAUUGAAAGCUUGUCAACUCAUGGGACCUGGCAUGUAUUAAUUAGGAGGAUGGUCUGGAGCCCGACACAGCUUGAUGGAAAGCCAGUCUGAGGGGGGAAUUAGGCAGAGAAUCAGAAAGAAGCUGAACCAAGCAGCAGAGGGGUAGAUGGCUUAAGACCAUGACCCAAAUUUCAGACCCAGGGUGACCGACUGUCAGCCUUCUGGGCUGGGAUUCUUCCCUUAAGCUAAGACAGUCUUCACUUUGUGCCAUAAAAGUGCACGUCAGGUCUCACCUCUGUGCCGUUUGCUCAAUGUGUACCCCCCUGCCGGGAUGCCCUUCUUUCUCUUUUCUACCUACUAAGCUCUGCUGCUUUUCAAGGCCAAAAUGAAGUCCCAUCUCCCAUAAAAAGCCUUCCGCGGCUCCUCCAGUCCUGAGCAACCUCCAUUUUCAUGACACUCUUGCAGGAUUUGUAGCACAUAAUUUAGGCCUUGCUUAUGUAGUCUUCUUAAUGAGAACUGUCUUAGUCUCUCCAGCCACGUCAGAGAGAAACAGAGUUCAGGAAGACAUAGGUUGAAUAAGAAAGAAGCUUGUUUGCCCCUCUGGGGACAGCAGGAGGAGAGGGACAAGCUCAGCAGGCCCGUGCGAUUGCACAGAAGCUGGCCUCCAGCGUUGCCCAGACAAUCCCCAGCUGUUUUUUAAAAACAUUACCAAGUACACAAAUCUCUGCUGUUACCAGCUGGCUAGAGUUGCCCAUGUGAGAAGCAGCUCAACUGGAAACCAGUGUCUGCAAGUUGAAGGGCGUGUCCUUGGAUUUUGGACUCAUAUCUGAAACAUUUAUUCCUUGUUCUGCCCACAGGUCUUAAUACGCAUGGGGAACACUGUAUUGAGGGGCUCUGUGCCCUCUCCUGAAAAUCCUUUGUCCAUUUCUGAGUGUCCUUCCCUUGGCUUCUCUCUUUUUUUUUUUUUUUUUUUUGAGACAGAGCCUUGCUCUGUUGCCCAGGCUAGAGUGCAGUGGUGCGAUCUCGGCUCACUGUAACCUCCGCCUUUCAGGUUCAAGCAAUUCUCCUGCCUCAGCCUCCUGAGUAGCUGAGAUUACAGGCAUGCGCCACCACACCCAGCUAAUUUUGUAUUUUUAGUAGAGUCGGGGUUUCACCACGUUGGCCAGGCUGGUCUCAAACUCCUGGCCUCAGGUGAUCCACCUACCUCAGCCUCCCAAAGUGCUGGCAUUACAGGCGUGAGCCACCAAGACUGGCCCCUUCCCUUGGCUUCUAUGCCUGCUUCUAAUGACUCUCUUCUAAAGACUGGUGACAGAUGUACCUGGAAAUUUGGGUCCUCCCUAGGGGGCCAUUGGCCAAUGGCUGACUGGUGCAGAAUAUGAAAGCCCAGCUCUGGGGUGCCUGGAGUUGGGAUACAAUCAGAGGUGUAACUUACACUCCACUGCUUUUUGUAGAGCCAUGCUGAGGCUGGGACUUGGCCUGAAGUGGCUGUCUUGCUGGGCUCCUUUCCCUUCCCCAUCCAGCCUGUUCCUCCUCCCACCCCCUCAUUUCCCCUGGAGCACUUCAUUUAUAAACUCUGGCAUACUAGUCCCCAUCUGCGAGACUGUGUCUGCGAGACCCUGACCUACCAUAAUGCAUAUGGCACAUCUCUUCAUUGGUAGUCAGCCCACCAUCACCCCCCACAAGCCCAUAUUUUAAGGCCAUUUUAUAAAUUCAAAUGUUCCCUCCAAUACAGUGAAAAUCCAUCCAGUCAUGCUCAGGUGAUGUGAUGAUAGACAUCUAGUCAGAAACUUAUUUUUAUUUAUGUUGGUUACAAAUUAAAGUCAUCAUUCAUCCUCCUAGCACAGUAGUAUCUUGCCCCUCUGUGACUUUGGAUGCUGCCAAGGUAGUCACGAAUAGAUUUCAUUCAUCUUUCUAGAUCCUGUUUUCUUGAUAUUUGUAGCUCAAGAAUGAUUCUGCACCACUGGCCCUGCCCCAAAUCCUCCUGAUAGGCUACUCUGAGUAACCAAGCAAAUGAGAAGAUGACUUUCUGUCCCAGGCCACACAGAUCACUAAACUCUAAGUUUAUUAAAACCUCUCUCUAGACUGGGCACAGUGGCUCACGCCUGUAAUCCCAGCACUUUGGGAGGCCAAGGCAGGUGGAUCACUUGGGGUCAGGAAUUUGAGACCAGCCUGGCCAACAUGGUGAAACCCCACCUCUAUUAAAAACACAAAAAUUAGCCAGGAGUAGUGGUGGGUGCCUGUAAUCCCAGCUACUUGAGAGGCUGAGGCAGGAGAAUCGCUUAAACCCAGGAGGCAGAGGCAGGAGAAUCGCUUAAACCUGGGAGGGGGAGGCAGGAGAAUCGCUUAAACCUGGGAGGCGGAGGUCGCAGUGAGCCGAGCUCAAGAUUGCACCAUUGCACUCCAGUCUGGGUGACAGAGCAAGACUCCGUCUCAAAAAAAACAAAAACAAAACCAAAAAUCUCUCUCUAAACCCACCAGCACACUGCUACCUUUGCUGCUGCUGUACAUAUUCUCUUUGAACCCCCAUUCCCCACCCCCAAGCCCCAAACCAGGUCUUAUAAUUCUUUGCCCCUUCAUAGUGCUCAGCACAGGGCCAGGGGCAAACUUGUCAAAUUCAUCAGUCACAUGGGAAGUAAAAGUCACAACUUUGAACCAAGCCAGGUAAACAGGGUUUGUGCAAGAGUCAACCUAUUCAUGGGACCAAGUACAUUUCCAAGCUAGAGACAAAAUUGGCCACCGAAACAUAUUUUUCUGAAAUGUAAUUUCUCCAACUCCUUUAACUAUCUGCCCUCAGGUGCAUUUGGUUUUUCUUUCUAGCGCUAUUGUUCUGCAACUUGAUCCCUUUUUCUGCCUCUCUGAGAAAUUCAAGUUUUCCUGAACUUAGGGUUUUUAGUACUUUAGAUUUCUAAGAAAGGCAGUUUAUUAGGAAACCUUGUGUUUACUCAAGUUUGCAGCAGGUCCCGGUUGGCCAGCAGGCUCAAUGUGAUUCCUUGAAAUUCUGUUCCGGGCAUGGACUCCCGGGAGCUAAAUGUAACAUUUAGUCAUCAAUAGGAUAAUUUAGGUUCAUUCUUUCUACUUGCCUCCUUAAGAAGGGAUUGGAGUUCACGCUGGUAUUCUCUAGAAAACGGAACUACCUUCCCACCCUGUAGAAGUAUGUUAUGAUGGAAAGAGCCACCUAUUUCCUGUGUUGGCUUCUUCUCUGCUUUCGGAUUUAGGCACGGUGUCUUUUCAGAUGUGCUGACUUUUUACGGCUUCAGCAAGGUAAUACUGUAUAAAUGCCGUUGGCCGUUUACCAUUUGGGAUUCAACGCAACGUCUGGAUCUUGUUAUGUAGGCAUUUUCAGAGCAUUACAGCUCAGCUGUGAAAGCACUCUGGCUUAAAGCGAAAAUGCAGUAGAACCUUGCUAAUCUAACAACUUAAUAACACUUGCCACCCCUUCACAGCAAGGACUUAAUGGUAAGACUCAAAGUGAGGCUUCAUGUUUUAGAAUGCACAGGAAUGCAUCCCACAGAUGACUGUGUUAUCAUCAAUAAUCUCCAACUUUGCUUAUUAAAGCACAUGCAGCAACGUUACUUUAACACCACGCUAUCCUUUAAUUCAGCCACCAAAGAUAGCCUCAAAAUAACGAGAACCUGCCUGAGACCUUCUGAGUUAUGCUUUGCCUUCUCUCCUUCAGCACCAAGAUUCUACGAAAAAUGUGUUGUGGACCUAAGGCUUUUAGUUUCUUUUCUUUUCUUUUCUUUUCUUUCUUUCUUUCCUUCUUUAUUUCUCUCUCUCUCUCUCUCUCUUUCCUUCUUUCUCUUUCUCUCUCUUUCUUUCUCUCUUGACAGAGUUUCACUCUGUCGCACAGGCUGGAGUGCAAUGGCAUGACUCGGCUCACUGCAACCUCCACCUCCCGGGUUCAAGUCAUUCUCCUGCCUCAGCAUCCCAAGUAGCUGGAAUUACAGGCAUGCACCACUAUGCUGGGCUAAUUUUUGUAUUUUUAGUAGAGACGGGGUUUCAUCACCUUGGCCAGGCUGGUCUCGAACCCCUGACCUCAGGUGAUCCGCCCACCUCAGCCUCCCAAAGUGCUGGGAUUGCAGGCGUGAGCCACCGUGCCCAGCUGGGCUUUUAGUUUCUUUAGGUGUCUUUAGAGGAAUGUUCUAAACACGUUUUAGGUACAGGUAUCCAAAACCCAGAUUAGCUUAUCUGCUUUUCUAAGGACUUUAUUUUCACAUAGCUAAGUCUAAUUUUUGGUUAGAAUGGGUUAGUCCAUUUUCUUUCCCUGUGGGGGCGAGGGAAGCUUUCAUAUUCAAACUUAACUUGUUUCUGAUGAUCUCUAAAUGAUUUCUAUGGCAUAUACUAGUUAAAAUUUGUUUUCUAUUUAUAUUUCUCUCUUCAUAAAAAUACUGUGUUUAAAAAAUAAGCAAGACUAAAGAAGUGACCUAUUUUUAUUUAUGAAAUGUAACUGAUCUCACCUAAAAUUUUACUAACUCUAAUAAAGAUAUUACAGUUGAAAUUUCC
rnacentral:lncRNA from 10 species